AACGAACGCUGGCGGCAUGCCUAACACAUGCAAGUCGAACGAAGCCUUCGGGCUUAGUGGCGCACGGGUGCGUAACGCGUGGGAAUCUGCCCUUUGGUUCGGAAUAACAGUUGGAAACGACUGCUAAUACCGGAUGAUGACGAAAGUCCAAAGAUUUAUCGCCAGAGGAUGAGCCCGCGUAGGAUUAGCUAGUUGGUGUGGUAAAGGCGCACCAAGGCGACGAUCCUUAGCUGGUCUGAGAGGAUGAUCAGCCACACUGGGACUGAGACACGGCCCAGACUCCUACGGGAGGCAGCGGUGGGGAAUAUUGGACAAUGGGCAAAAGCCUGAUCCAGCAAUGCCGCGUGAGUGAUGAAGGCCUUAGGGUUGUAAAGCUCUUUUACCCGGGAUGAUAAUGACAGUACCGGGAGAAUAAGCUCCGGCUAACUCCGUGCCAGCCGCCGCCGUAA
rnacentral:rRNA from 1 species